AUUGAACGCUGGCGGCAGGCCUAACACAUGCAAGUCGAACGGUAACAGGAAGAAGCUUGCUUCUUUGCUGACGAGUGGCGGACGGGUGAGUAAUGUCUGGGAAACUGCCUGAUGGAGGGGGAUAACUACUGGAAAGAGUAGCUAAUACCGCAUACGAUCUGAGGAUGAAAGCGGGGGACCUUCGGGCCUCGCGCGAUUGGAGCGGCCGAUGGCAGAUUAGGUAGUUGGUGGGAUAAAAGCUUACCAAGCCGACGAUCUGUAGCUGGUCUGAGAGGACGACCAGCCACACUGGGACUGAGGCACGGCCCAG
rnacentral:rRNA from 1 species